rnacentral:miRNA from 1 species
UGACUAGAGCCAAUUCUCUUC